rnacentral:tRNA from 1 species
AGCUCUGUGGUGUAGUGGUAAGCAUACAAGGCUCUGGACCUUGAGACAGAGGUUCGAAUCCUCUUGGGGCUA